rnacentral:rRNA from 1 species
AGCCCAUGUGAAGCCUCUUCGACGAGUCGAGUUGUUUGGGAAUGCAGCUCAAAAUGGGUGGUAAAUUUCAUCUAAAGCUAAAUACUGGCUGGAGACCGAUAGCGCACAAGUAGAGUGAUCGAAAGAUGAAAAGCACUUUGGAAAGAGAGUCAAACAGUACGUGAAAUUGUUGAAAGGGAAGCGCUGGCAACCAGACCUGUCCGUGGGCGAUCAGCCGCUGUUCUCAGCGGUGCACUCGUUCCGCGAUCAGGCCAGCAUCGGUUUUGGCGGUCGGAUAAAGGCCCGGGGAACGUAGCUCCCUCUCGGGGGAGUGUUAUAGCCCCGGGCGCAAUGCGGCCAGCCGGGACCGAGGACCGCGCUUCGGCUAGGAUGCUGGCGUAAUGGUUGUCAGCGACCCGUCUUGAAACACGGACCAAGGAGUCUAACAUCUAUGCGAGUGUUUGGGUGUCAAACCCAUGCGCGGAAUGAAAGUGAACGGAGGUGAGAACCCUUUAGGGCGCAUCAUCGACCGAUCCAGAUGUCUUCGGAUGGAUUUGAGUAUGAGCAUAGCUGUUGGGACCCGAAAGAUGGUGAACUAUGCCUGAAUAGGGUGAAGCCAGAGGAAACUCUGGUGGAGGCUCGCAGCGGUUCUGACGUGCAAAUCGAUCGUCAAAUUUGGGUAUAGGGGCGAAAGACUAAUCGAACCA